CUUACGGCAAGCCUUGUCAAAGGCUUGUCUGGAAAGGCCUUUUUAUAUCAACUUGUGCCAGACUUGUGGCACGCUUGUGAAGAAGGCUUACGGGGAACAGCUUGGGGCCAAUUCGUGGAAGGUGUAUCACGACAAGCAACGUAGUUGUAAUUUUCAUCCAUCGCAGCGCUAGCGGCGCUAGUCAGUCUACUACACAACAACAAAACAAAACAACCGCCAUUUUAUUUGUGUUUGUUUGGCCGUCUGGCGUCUGCGCUUGUUCUUUCUUGUUUUCGGUUAAGUGUUUAUUUUUCCUUAAGUUUUGAGUUUAUAUUUCGCGUUAAGUUUAAAUUUUUAAGUUUAUAAAGUUUGUAUACAGCCCUAAGUAAAUUUAUAAGUGCUUUUGGUUAAUUAGUAGUUUUCCUCGGUGAUAACUUUGAAACCUACUGCGAUUUUCAGAUGCUGUCAGGAGAAAACAUUGAGAAACAUCGGCUGAGAAUAUGAAGAACUCAAUCAAGAAGUGCCUGCAGCAAGCCACACCCAGAUUGAUGAAGAGGUCUAACAGACAGCAAGCAACACCCGCUGCUGAAGAGUGUUCUGAUGACUGAAUACUGUACGAAUUGUAAUUUAAACCUGUGUAAAUAUUUUCAGAAUAUAAAAUGUUAAGUGCA